rnacentral:rRNA from 1 species
GAGUUUGAUCCUGGCUCAGGACGAACGCUGGCGGCGCGCCUAACACAUGCAAGUCGAACGGAGCUUAGAGAGCUUGCUUUUUAAGCUUAGUGGCGAACGGGUGAGUAACGCGUGAGUAACCUGCCCUGGAGUGGGGGACAACAGUUGGAAACGACUGCUAAUACCGCAUAAGCCCACGGUGCCGCAUGACACUGAGGGAAAAGGAUUUAUUCGCUUUAGGAUGGACUCGCGUCCAAUUAGCUAGUUGGUGAGGUAACGGCCCACCAAGGCGACGAUUGGUAGCCGGACUGAGAGGUUGAACGGCCACAUUGGGACUGAGACACGGCCCAGACUCCUACGGGAGGCAGCAGUGGGGGAUAUUGCACAAUGGGGGAAACCCUGAUGCAGCGACGCCGCGUGGAGGAAGAAGGUUUUCGGAUUGUAAACUCCUGUCGUUAGGGACGAUAAUGACGGUACCCUGGGAGGAAGCACCGGCUAACUACGUGCCAGCAGCCGCGGUAAUAC